UACUAAAUGAGUUUUGCUGAAGGUUUUCAGAUAACAGUGGCUACAUAUGUACUCUCCUUUUCCAGGUUAGCCGGGCAUGCUGGCGUGUGCCUGUAGUCCCAACUGCUCAAGAGGCUGAGACUGAAGGAUCAUGUGAUCCAAGGAGUUCAAGGCCAGACUGGGCAACAUAGUGAGAUCCCUGUCUCAAAAAAAAAAAAUUCCUCUAAGUGAUCUCUGGUCCUAGAGAAACUAAAAAGCAACAGUGUUAAAGAGAAGUUACCUGUGUCAUGCUCUUGUAGAAAAAAUUUCCUCCUGGGCACGAAGUCUCUCCCAUACUCCGGGACUACUCAGCCAAGGAGAGAGUUCCGAAGGCAGGGCUGGAGGAAAAGACUCAGGGAUCAUCUAGGAACUGAGGCUACAUGUGCCGGCUCCCAAACUUGCUAUUGUUCCUUCUUCAGUCAACAGGGCGUGUAUGGUGGGCACUGGGAACAUUCUGGUUGCUUCCAUUUAAAAGAAAUGUGUGGAGGAACCAGCGGCAAAGCAUGGGGAAUCUCGUGGAAGACACCAGAAAGCAGACUCGGACUUAAGAAAGCAGAGAUGUUGAAAUGAAUAUGGUUGCUCACUUUGCAAGCCCUGUUACUGCAAACAUUCCUCCGGAUAUAGCAGUGAGUCUGGACAGCAGGCAGACCUAACCACCACC
rnacentral:lncRNA from 1 species